ACGAACGCUGGCGGCGUGCUUAACACAUGCAAGUCGAACGGUGAAGCGCCUUCCUUUUUGGUGGGUGUGGAUGAGUGGCGAACGGGUGAGUAACACGUGAGUAACCUGCCCCCUUCUUCUGGAUAACCGCAUGAAAGUGUGGCUAAUACGGGAUAUUCUGGGUCUGUCGCAUGAUGGGUCUGGGAAAGAUAUUGUUUCGGUGGGGGAUGGGCUCGCGGCCUAUCAGCUUGUUGGUGGGGUGAUGGCCUACCAAGGCGGUGACGGGUAGCCGGCCUGAGAGGGUGGACGGUCGCACUGGGACUGAGACACGGCCCAGACUCCUACGGGAGGCAGCAGUGGGGAAUAUUGCACAAUGGGCGCAAGCCUGAUGCAGCGACGCCGCGUGAGGGAUGGAGGCCUUCGGGUUGUGAACCUCUUUCGCCAGUGAAGCAGGCCUGCCUCGUUUGUGGGUGGGUUGACGGUAGCUGGAUAAGAAGCGCCGGCUAACUACGUG
rnacentral:rRNA from 1 species